UACGUAGGGUGCAAGCGUUGUCCGGAAUUAUUGGGCGUAAAGAGCUCGUAGGCGGUUCGUCACGUCGGCUGUGAAAUCCCGAGGCUCAACCUCGGGUCUGCAGUCGAUACGGGCGGACUGGAGUACUGCAGGGGAGACUGGAAUUCCUGGUGUAGCGGUGGAAUGCGCAGAUAUCAGGAGGAACACCGGUGGCGAAGGCGGGUCUCUGGGCAGUAACUGACGCUGAGGAGCGAAAGCGUGGGGAGCGAACAGG
rnacentral:rRNA from 1 species